UACGAAGGUGGCAAGCGUUACUCGGAAUUACUAGGCGUAAAGGGCGCGUAGGCGGCCUGCUAAGUCGAUCGUGAAAUCCCCGGGCUUAACCCGGGAACUGCGACCGAUACUGGUUGGCUUGAAUUCGGGAGAGGGAUGCGGAAUUCCACGUGUAGCGGUGAAAUGCGUAGAGAUGUGGAGGAACACCGAUGGCGAAGGCAGCCUUCUGGGCCAACACUGACGCUCAUGCACGAAAGCGUGGGGAGCAAACAGG
rnacentral:rRNA from 1 species